rnacentral:precursor_RNA from 1 species
UCUGAUUCAACCCCUAGUCUGGGAAACUCUACAUGCCUUGAGUGUAGGAC